rnacentral:sRNA from 1 species
AACUUGUGUCCAAUGGCCAGGGGAGGAUCACGCAAUUUGACAUAACCACGAACAGGUUCCAUGGUCAAACCCGACAGUGGUAGAGCUACAAAUGGAACCAAGCUAAGGGCCGCCAGCGUGUACCACAGCCGCCCUGCAGCAAUCCUCCUCCGUUGCAAGAACGCGCUGCAGCAUUUGAACCAACCCCCUGGUCCAUUCCAGGAGCUGUCGCAAUGCAUCAACAAAGUCAUGGUAUUUUCAACCUGCCAGGUGCGAUCGUGGAGCAUGCUAGCUUCGAUACCAAGUAGGCCAUACUUUGAAAAGUUCAGGCCAAAUACGCCGACAAGGAACCAAGAGUAGUAUAUCCAAAGCUCAUUGGAGAAGCCAAAUUUGAGUGUAUGUCCUUCUCUCGUCUGGAUCAAUUUCCAGAUAAAAGCGAAGUAGGCCAGGACUAUUAUCGGGCCAAAAAUCACUGCCACAGCUCGAAGGGGGAACCUGCGUAACCUAUAGCUCUUGCGUUUGUCAUGGCUGAUUGCCUUGGCUGUGUUUGUCGUGACGGAGUCACCGUUUGUGACAUUCAGUGGCCUAGUGCAGAGGUUAAUGAACAAGUUAUCUUGAAACCUGCUGACUCCCGCCGCACAUUCCCAGGGCUCACGAUAUUUCUCUUUUCUCCCAGGAAAAGCACUUACUCGAGCUCUGGUUCUGGUAGAUGAUCGUGACGAGGUGUUGUGGUCAUGUUUCAUUAAGGUUGAAUGGGAU